rnacentral:tRNA from 1 species
ACCUAGCUGGCUCAGUCAGUAGAGUGUGUGACUCUUAAUCUCAGGGUUGUGAGUUCAGGCCCCACGUUACGUG